GCAGGCGUCUGCUGCGCCAGGCCCCGCUCAGCGAGCAUGUCCAGGGGCCUCUCCUGUGGGAACCCGUGGUGGAGACACCUGGGCAUGGCGCUGGCCUGGCACCGAGUAGAUAAUGAAGCAUAUGAGUGCUGUCUCGUCUCAGGUAUCAGUCUGGGGCAUCAGAAAUCUUCCCUGUAGUGAAUGGAGGUGGUUUGGUGUGGUUUGGGGGGCAGCUCUUGCACGCCACGGGCUGCUGGCAGGCACGGCUUCUAGCUGUUCCCCCGAUGAGCUGUCCGCUGUCAGGCUGCUUGUUUUGUGUGGGAAGAGGAACAAGGAGACCGGCAACGGAGAUAAAGUUAACUGUGCUGGCAACGUGGAAAGCCUUUCACUGAGCGCAAGGACAAAGCGAGGAGGAUUUAUCAGCAGGAGCACAGUGGUCGUGGGAGACAGAGGAGAGAUAAAGAGCCUCCCACUGCCCCUGGGCAUCCCACUUGCACGUGCCCCUGCUCUGACCUUGUGGAAGAAGCAGGGGGAUGAGGAGAGCUCCGUCCCCACAAGAGUCCUGUCGAUGUCGGUUUCCAGUGGAGAGCCUUUCAGUUUGCAUUACUGUUUUCAGGGGAGAAGAUCUAUUCUCAGCAUAGUCCCAGAUUUCUGAGAACUGAAACAUUGUUAACCUCAUUUCUUCAUCAUUUUUGAAAGUAAAAAUUCUCACCUAUGGAAACCACUGGUCAUUUCUGAGUGCCACUUGUCCUUGGAGGAAGAAGAAACAGAAAGCAAAGUUCCAGAAGGACAGCUCCCUUCCUGGGGAGCACAGGAGCUUCUUUUUGCUCUCAGUGUCCUGAAAUGGCUCUGAGCCUCUGGCUGGCAGAAGACACCACGCUUACAUGAUGGUCUGCACCCUGAUCCUCGGGAGAUGCUGCAGCACCACUGCAAGGGCACGUCAGAGCACACACCUGCUGGGUGCUCUUCGUGGGCCCACAGGAUCCAUUUUUGAAGAAAACCCAUUGCACCAGGGCGAGUGGUGCUGAGCAUCUCAAAAUUUCACAUCUGGAUGAAAGAAGUUGCACUGUCUCCCAUUCUGCAACCAAGAAUGUGAAGCUGGAAAAGACAAACCCAAAUCAUACUGAAAA